rnacentral:piRNA from 1 species
UGUGCAUUGGAGGUGACGGUUCCGGCCUCCCG